AGAGUUUGAUCCUGGCUCAGAACGAACGCUGGCGGCGCGUUUUAAGCAUGCAAGUCGAGCGGCAAGGGCCUUUGGGCCCCUAGAGCGGCGGACGGGUGAGUAACACGUGGACAAUCUGCCCCCCGGCCGGGGAUAGCCCAGGGAAACCUGGAUUAAUACCGGAUGAGACGGGACCCGCGGAGGCGGGAUCCGGGAAAGGCGCUGCGGCGCCGCCGGGGGAUGAGUCUGCGUCCCAUUAGCUAGACGGCGGGGUGAAGGCCCACCGUGGCGACGAUGGGUAGCCGGCCUGAGAGGGUGGACGGCCACAUUGGAACUGAGACACGGUCCAGACUCCUACGGGAGGCAGCAGCUAAGAAUCUUCCGCAAUGGGCGAAAGCCUGACGGAGCGACGCCGCGUGAACGAAGAAGGCCGUGAGGUUGUAAAGUUCUUUUCGGGAGGGGGAACAACCGUGGCAGGGAAUGGCCGCGGGAUGACGUGAAUCCCGGAAUAAGCCCCGGCUAACUACGUGCCAGCAGCCGCGGUAACACGUAGGGGGCGAGCGUUGUUCGGAAUCAUUGGGCGUAAAGGGCGUGCAGGCGGUCCUGCAAGUCCGGCGUGAAAGACCCCGGCCCAACCGGGGGGGCGCGCUGGAAACUGCAGGGCUUGAGUACAGGAGGGGAUGCCGGAAUUCCAGGUGUAGGGGUGAAAUCUGU
rnacentral:rRNA from 1 species